GCAGCGGUGGAGUACAACCCCAUCGAUGUAAAUCAACAAACGCCAACAACUCAUCAGGCGCCCGCCGCCGACGUGCUACCUGCUCUUUAGCUGACUCGGUCACAGCGAGGGGAGCAGGCGACGCUCCAUCAGCCAGGAUGGCGGCAGCAGCACUAGCAGGGGAGGGAUUGCCCCCCCCCCCCCGUCGGGAGCUGGCCUUUCUAAAAGUGUCUGUCCACCUCCAAGUGCUGGAGCUCGUGUUAUAUUUGGCAGCUUGACAGGUGCGCCGGGCAGAUCGCGUGAGUAGGUUGAGUGGUUAAUGCACCCCAACUUAGAUGUCACUUUGGUUCCGGGUUUGACCUUCAAAGGUUAAAAUGGCAUCCAGUGGUGUGAAGGGAGGAGACCAAGGAGGAAGAGCUCCUAACGUAUCAUUACCAAAGAGAUCAGGAAAGACACAAAUGGGAUCGGAGCUUUCCUACCUGUGGGAAACUCUGCAGGAACCACAUCCGUGUCUCCAGCUACCAGCGAGGGAACAAUCCACGUGAAGCCAUAACCAGUAAUCCCAACAGAGUGGGCCACCUCAAAGAUGGUGUUGGCCUCCUCUUUAGUGCAGUAGAGGAGAAUCACUGGACUCUGGAGCUUCUUCAGCUGGUUCUGGAUCUUGGAAUCUCCAUCAUCUACAGACAUGUCCAGCAAAAGGACUUCUUCUAGUUCCCAGCCCACAAAGCUAUUCUCGAUGGUGUUUCGGAUCUGAGAAAAUAUGAGAAGUGAAGAUCAUGCACAAAGAAAAAAACAAGACGUAGCAACAGUUAGUUUCCAAAAGGGAAGCCAACACGGAAGUGACCAAAAACGCAGCCCCGUCUUCGUCCUCUAGGGGCUGGCUCCAGAAAGCAGCGGCUUCCCAUCGACUCCCGUGUUUAAAACGCCAACUUCACAGCAGAAAUGUUUACAGCCUGGUUCAUUUUUGGUUUAAUAGGUCAAGUUUACCAUUAUGACAACUCAGACAGGGUGAAUUUAUUUGUCACUAAUUUGUUUAGAUGUAAUUAAAGCUUGAAAUUAUGAAGAA